CUGUAGGCUGCAACUCGCCUACACGAAGCUGGAAUCGCUAGUAAUCGCGGAUCAGCACGCCGCGGUGAAUACGUUCCCGGGCCUUGUACACACCGCCCGUCACACCAUGAGAGUCUGUAACACCCAAAGCCGGUGGGAUAACCUUUAUAGGAGUCAGCCGUCUAAGGUAGGACAGAUGAUUAGGGUGAAGUCGUAACAAGGUACC
rnacentral:rRNA from 1 species